rnacentral:rRNA from 1 species
GACGAACGCUGGCGGCGUGCUUAACACAUGCAAGUCGAACGGAAAGGCCCCUUUGGGGGUACUCGAGUGGCAACCGGGGGAGUAACAGGUGAGUAACCUGCCCUUACCUUCGGGAUAACUUCAGGAAACUGGGGCUAUAACCGGUAAGGAAUCCUUGCUGCAUGGGGGGGGUUGGAAAGCUUCGGCGGUUUUGGAUGGCCUCGCGGCUUAUCGGCUUGUUGGUGGGGCAGUGGCUUACCAAGGCUUUGUCGGGUAGCCGGCCUGAGAGGGCGACCGGCCACAUUGGGACUGAGAUACGGCCCAGACUCCUACGGGAGGCAGCAGUGGGGAAUAUUGCACAAUGGGCGGAAGCCUGAUGCAGCAACGCCGCGUGCGGGAUGACGGCCUUCGGGUUGUAAACCGCAUUCAGCAGGGGCGAAGCUUGUGGUGACGGUACCUGCAGAAGAAGCACCGGCUAACUACGUG